UCUGUGAGAUUCUGGAAAAAUACCAGGGAGGCUAAGGUAUGGCUGGCAGACCCCCCCUUCUGUUUGUCUUGUGAUAAACAUGUUUUUAGAGGCUCAAACUUGUGCAACCUAUAUGCAGCUUUUUUUCUGUGUAAGCAUCUACUGCAGUUUAGCUAAAUACCAUGUAAGGAGUUGUUUUGACUGGGGACUGAGUGGCCUAUACACAAAUCCGGCGAAAUACGGAAGCAAAGCAGCGCCGCCAUUACUACGUGCCUUGCUGCUAAGGAAGUAGCAGAAGUAGCGAUGGUAUGCAGUAUCUGGCCAAUCCAUCCGGAGCUCAUGUAAUUCUGACCUUGUAGUUUAGGUUCUGAAGCUCAUCGCAUGCCAGAUGAUUAAUAAAAUAAUCUUGAAUACCUACAUUUUCUUUAAUGAGCAGGAUGCGCUUUCAUUGUCAUUAGAGGGCACCGGCAAGUGUCACACCGUCACACUUCGCAGGCACGCAGUAAUGGCGGCAGGCAAGAUGGCGGCGCCCAUAGAGUUCGCGGCGGAUUUGUGUAUAGGACUCGAUGUUGCUACUGGCAGUGCUACUGGAGUUGACACUAGGUGACUUUGAUUCCGACGAAGAAUACCUUUAGGUGAAUCCACCAGGUAAGAUCUUGGAGUCUCCGCUUUCGUAAUCACAGUCCCUUUUUCUUUAGUGUCACUAAUCCAUACUGGCUCACCUGGAUGCAACUGUGGUCAGAGUCAUGUGCUCUGUGUCUAUUAUUAAACUGUUUAACUUGUUUCUUUCUCUUCAACUUUUCCUCUGCUUUCAGACGAUCCAAGUCCAUCCAGCCAGGAUUCAACAUUGAUGGAACAACUGGGAUUGUUGUGCAAAGCUUUUGGCACAUCAGCAGUUCUGCAGGACUAUAUCCAUUAGCUAAUGGUGUUGCCUGAUACUCCAUAAGAGCAAGAUAUGGAUCUGCUGCUUUGGCAAGUAAAUCUUUCACAGUUCUUACUGCACUUUCAGCUUCCCCAUUGGCAUGAGCAUAUCUGGGACUGGAUGUCGUAUGAGAGAAACCCCACUCUUUAGCGAAAUUCUUGAAACAUUCCGCAUUGAAUUGUGGUCCGUUGUCAGACAUCACCUCAGUAGGAAUUCCGUGAUGAGCAAACAUAUUUUUGAGAUGUGUUACCACACCUGUAGCAGUUGUUGAUGACAAUUUUGCUAUUUCCACAAACCAAGAAAAAUAGUCGAUAACCAGCAAGUAUUGAUCCUCUUUCCACUGAAACAGAUCUGCACCGACUUUUGACCAAGGCCUUUUAGGGAAUUCAGUGGGAAUCAAUGUUUUUUAAAGUUUUUUCUUUGGCUUGCACAUACGUCACAUUUCUCCACCUUUGAUUGAAGCUGUGCGCUCAGACCUGGCCACCAAACCGAUUGCUUAGCACGCUCUUGACAUUUAGCAAUGCCCUGGUGUGCAACAUGCAGUUUCUCCAGGAUAUCACUCUCUAGUGACUUUGGAAUUACGAGACGACAGCCUUUUAGCAACGGUCUAUUCUCUACCGUUAACUCCCCAGUGGGGUAUUGACAGCAAAUAGGGCUUGGAGUCAGGCUUCAGAGAUAUCUCAUACUCUCCCUGCAGUUUUCCCAGACCCUCGAAUAAUUCAGGAAACUGUCUUUUCACUGACUCCAUACUAUCAAGGAUCACUGUAUCGAUUCUCGCUAUGAUGCCUAAAGCAUGGAUUGCCGGCCGCCCAAGUAGCGCCAUUUUCAAUCCCGAAAUCACAUAUAUGUCUUGGGUUGUGGUUAUAUAUUUCGUGCUAAGUUUAGCUGUGCACCUACCCUUGACCUGCAGUGAAUCUUGGCCUGGUGCCAGCAGUAUCUUUGAGGUUUUCUGCAGUUUACUGAAGUUGUCCUGCUUGAACAGUUCUUCAGAAACCACAGUGACGUCUGCUCCCUUGUCCACUUUUAACCUCAGAAUCACUUUUAGUUUUAUCAGCCAGGGGGCAUCAUUCUGCUCUGUACUGACAGUACCUAAGAAAGCCAUGUCAUCCUCUUGUUCAUCACGAGUCAUGUUUACUUCACUUAUUCCUCUGGAUCUGCAAACUUUUGCAUAAUGACCCUUUUUCUUACAAAGGUUGCAGUAUGCCUGUCUUGCUGGGCACUGAAAUUUGCUGUGAGAAGGAAUUUUCCCACACCUCUUACAUGGGAUGGACUUAUCCAACACAGUUUGCUUCUCAGCCAUCCUAGCAGGCUUCUUACUCUGCAUCAUGCUUCGUCCUUUAUUGUAAGGUCGUUGCUGUGCAUGAACGAUGUCAACAUUGGUUGCUAAAUCACUUUUAAAGUUGGCUUUCAGCUCCUCUUGCUGUUUCUUUACCAGCUCGCUUUGGCGUACAUGUGUGACAGCCUUCUCUAAAGUGAGUUCAGGAUCCAUCUGAAGUUGGUCUGACAAUCUUUUAUCUCUCAGUCCAACCACUAAUCUGUCCAGAAUCAUUUCACUGUAUAAUUCUCCAUAGCCGCAAUGCUCACCUAGGCAAUGUAGUGCUGUGAUGAAAUUAUCUGCAGACUCUCCUGCUUCCUGUUGUCUCAUAUUAAACUUUGCACGUUCAAAUAUUACAUUUCUUCGUACUACAAAAUGUUCAUUCAGACGCUCCAUGACAGUAUUAUACUCACUGAGCUGUUCUGAAGUGAGACACAAUGAUGUAAGGAUGUCCUCCGCCUCAUCACCCAUUGUAUACACUAGGGCAUUCACUUGGUUCUCUUCUGGUUGUAAUUCAAGUCCAGAUGCAACUCUAAAUCUUUCAAAUCUUUUACUCCAUUUUGGCCAUUCCUCUGGUUUUGAGAAACUUUUGCGGUGACGGUACCUGAAACCGAUCCAUUUUCUCCUGCGUAGUUCUUCACUCCUCUGCACGUGUCGAGCGAUCACUUGUCUGUCAAAUUUCACAACAAAAAGCUUGAUUUCUUAUAUUACCACUCUUGGCAAAAGGGCUCUCUCAGUCCUCCUAUGCCAUUCUCAUGCAAACUUCUGACACCAUGUUGUGUUAGGAUGGCUAUUUUGUCGUUAUUGUGUGCUGAAGUAAGCCAGGUCAAACCAACGUGAUGUGAUACACUUUUUAUUCUUUCCGACAACUCCCCCUCGUCCACUAGGGGGCGAUAUUUAACCAUAUCUCUACACUAAGCAUAAUGUAAUAACUCCAUGUUACACCCACAUCUGUCAAAGCACCUGACAGGGCAAGCCACUUAAACUGUAUCCUUAUAACUUAGUUUGAAGCGCUUAUGACAUUUUGAUAUGUUUUGUACAGUUUGGCUCAUGCACUUUUCCCAAAGAUGCUCACUCUGUGCCAUCCGUGGUGCGUUUUGUCCAUGGAAAUGCUUUAUUGAGUACUGUAAUGUGACAUGAAUGGAGGAUGUAUUUCCAUGAACUGCAUGCAGACAUGAGAGUAAAAUAUAACGUAAAUGAUGUCUCUUACUGAAAUAUGUAGUAGAAAACCCAUGAAAAUUUUACGUUAUUUAAAAAAAUCCAUAACAUAUUUGUACAAUGGAGCGCCAUUUUGUUUGCGUUCUGUGUCGAUGACGUCAAAUGGUUGCACUCUGUCAGCUACAAAUAUUACUCUAUGGCUAUUUUUACCAAAGGCAUCAGGGCUAAAGUGGAGAGAACAUAUACACCUGGUCACUUCAUUUCUCUGAUCGAAUAUCUGAUUUAUAAAAACGAUUGCAUUUACACUUGGCCACAUAAAUGUGUCUCCGCAAAUAUAUCUGAUCUUCAAUUCCCACGCUAUAUGCAGAUAUCAUGGAGUUCACGUCACCAAAAGCAACAAAUGAGCUGCAUUUUAUUGAUUAUCAGCUAAUUUCAAAAUCAAGACCGCAAUCAGAGAGAGCAUGGCAACAGUCCUCCUGGUAAGAUCAUUCAGUUUCAUUACCUUUAAUGAAGAUGAUUGUGUGCGCGCCUUAGUCUGGGUAAACCCAGCCUGAUCUGCCGGCGAUUUGAUUUUGCUCGGCAACUCAGUCUGGAAACCCGUACAUUCAUUUCUGCUGCGCUGUUACACUUUUGCGGGAACCAAUCACAGACUGGCUU